AUUGAACGCUGGCGGCAGGCCUAACACAUGCAAGUCGAACGAGUGGCGGACGGGUGAGUAAUUUCUGGGAAACUGCCUGAUGGAGGGGGAUAACUACUGGAAACGGUCGCUAAUAACGCAUACCAUCGGAUGUGCCCAGAUGGGAUUAGCUAGUAGGUGGGGUACCGGCUCACCUAGGCGACGAUCCCUAGCUGGUCUGAGAGGAUGACCAGCAAAACUGGAACGGGUACACGGUCCAGACUCCUACGGGAGGCAGCAGUGGGGAAUAUUGAGCAAUGGGCGCAAGCCUGAUGCAGCCAUGCCGCGUGUAUGAAGAAGGCCGUCGGGUUGUAAAGUACUUUCAGCGGGGAGGCGUUACCCGCAGAAGAAGCACCGGCUAACUCCGUGCCAGCAGCCGCGGUAAUAC
rnacentral:rRNA from 1 species